GAACGAACGCUGGCGGCAGGCCUAACACAUGCAAGUCGAGCGCCCGGAUUUAUCCGGGAGCGGCGCACGGGUGAGUAACGCGUGGGAACAUGCCCUGAAGUACGGAACAACCUGGGGAAACCUUGGCUAAUACCGUAUACGCCCUGAGGGGGAAAGAUUUAUCGCUUUGGGAUUGGCCCGCGUUGGAUUAGCUAGUUGGUGUGGUAACGGCGCACCAAGGCGACGAUCCAUAACUGGUCUGAGAGGAUGACCAGUCACACUGGGACUGAGACACGGCCCAGACUCCUACGGGAGGCAGCAGUGGGGAAUAUUGGACAAUGGGCGCAAGCCUGAUCCAGCCAUGCCGCGUGAGUGAAGAAGGCCUUCGGGUUGUAAAGCUCUUUCAGCGGGGACGAUGAUGACGGUACCCGCAGAAGAAGCCCCGGCUAACUUC
rnacentral:rRNA from 1 species